rnacentral:rRNA from 1 species
AGAGUUUGAUCCUGGCUCAGGAUGAACGCUGGCGGCAUGCCUAAGACAUGCAAGUCGAACGGAGGGACCCAAUGACGUUUUAUGAAGUUUUGCGAGCUUGCUCAAGAAACGGAUUAAAGCUGAUUUGGAUUAUCCCUUAGUGGCAAACGAGUGAGUAACACGUGGGUUACCUACCUCCAAGUCGGGGACAACAGUUGGAAACGAUUGCUAAUACCGGAUGUGGACUACGGUUUAAAGAAGCCUUUAAAGCUUCGCUUGGAGAUGGGCCUGCGGUGCAUUAGCUAGUUGGUGGGGCAAUGGCCUACCAAGGCGACGAUGCAUAGCCGAACUGAGAGGUUAAUCGGCCACAUUGGGACUGAGACACGGCCCAAACUCCUACGGGAGACAGCAGUUAGGAAUAUUCGUCAAUGGGGGGAACCCUGAACGAGCAAUGCCGCGUGAGUGAUGACGGUCCUCUGGAUUGUAAAACUCUGUUGCUUGGAAAGAAUUGUAAGAAGAGGAAAUGCUUCUUAUUUGACGGUACCAUUCAAGAAAGCCACGGCUAACUACGUGCCAGCAGCCGCGGUAAUACGUAGGUGGCGAGCGUUAUCCGGAUUUAUUGGGCGUAAAGCGUCCGCAGCCGGUUUAUUAAGUCUAGAAUUAAAGCCUGGAGCUCAACUCCAGUUCGUUUUAGAAACUGAUAGACUCGAGUGUGGUAGAGGCAAACGGAAUUUCUAGUGUAGCGGUAGAAUGCGUAGGUAUUAGAAGGAACACCAGUGGCGAAGGCGGUUUGCUAGGCCACCACUGACGGUCAUGGACGAAAGCGUGGGGAGCAAAUAGGAUUAGAUACCCUAGUAGUCCACGCUGUAAACGAUGAGUACUAAGUGUCGGGUUACCGGUGCUGAAGUUAACACAUUAAGUACUCCGCCUGAGUAGUACGGUCGCAAGGC